ACACACAGCCUGAGGAGGGCGUGGAGCUGGACCAUCAGGAAGAUGGGCCACGUGGCUGGAGACAAAUGAGUGAGAGAGAGCAUGUUAGGAUAAGAAUCAGAACCACACAAAGUAUCCAGA